rnacentral:rRNA from 1 species
CCUACGGGGGGCAGCAGUGAGGAAUAUUGGUCAAUGGCCGGAAGGCUGAACCAGCCAUGCCGCGUGAAGGUCAGUGCCCUAUGGGCGUUAAACUUCUUUUGUGCGGGAGCAAUAAUGGUCACGUGUGGCCAGACGAGAGUACCGUACGAAUAAGCAUCGGCUAACUCCGUGCCAGCAGCCGCGGUAAUACGGGGGAUGCAAGCGUUAUCCGGAUUUAUUGGGUUUAAAGGGUGCGUAGGCUGUGAGGUAAGUCAGCGGUGAAAUGCCCCCGCUCAACGGGGUGAAGUGCCAUUGAUACUGCCUGGCUGGAAUGCGGAUGCCGUGGGAGGAAUGUGUGGUGUAGCGGUGAAAUGCAUAGAUAUCACACAGAACACCGAUUGCGAAGGCAUCUCACGAAGCCGCGAUUGACGCUGAUGCACGAAAGCGUGGGUAUCAAACAGGAUUAGAUACCCGUGUAGUC